GAAGAAGCAGCUGUUCAGGCACCUGCAGGUGUUGAACUGGGAACUGCAACUGAGGCACUGGGUGGUCAGGACUGUGACAGACCAAGGGUUGAUUUUGCCACAUCACCUCAAGAAGUGGGUAUCCAGUGCACCUACCAACAUUACUCUAUCGGGGAAGAAGCACAGAAAACCCCUCUAGUGGAUCUGACUUGCCCAGAAAGAGAAGGCAGCGAUGGAAGUGAAAUCCCCCUCAAAGCCAGCCACGACUAG
rnacentral:lncRNA from 1 species